rnacentral:rRNA from 1 species
AGUGGCGGACCGGUGAGGAAUACAUCGGAAUCUACUUUUUCGUGGGGGAUAACCUAGGGAAACUUACGCUAAUACCGCAUACGACCUACGGGUGAAAGCAGGGGAUCUUCGGACCUUGCGCGAUUGAAUGAGCCGAUGUCGGAUUAGCUAGUUGGCGGGGUAAAGGCCCACCAAGGCGACGAUCCGUAGCUGGUCUGAGAGGAUGAUCAGCCACACUGGAACUGAGACACGGUCCAGACUCCUACGGGAGGCAGCAGUGGGGAAUAUUGGACAAUGGGCGCAAGCCUGAUCCAGCCAUACCGCGUGGGUGAAGAAGGCCUUCGGGUUGUAAAGCCCUUUUGUUGGGAAAGAAAUCCAGCUGGUUAAUACCCGGUUGGGAUGACGGUACCCAAAGAAUAAGCACCGGCUAACUUCGUGCCAGCAGCCGCGGUAAUACGAAGGGUGCAAGCGUUACUCGGAAUUACUGGGCGUAAAGCGUGCGUAGGUGGUUGUUUAAGUCUGUUGUGAAAGCCCUGGGCUCAACCUGGGAACUGCAGUGGAAACUGGACGACUAGAGUGUGGUA